UACGGAGGGUGCAAGCGUUAAUCGGAAUUACUGGGCGUAAAGCGCGCGUAGGCGGCUAGAUAAGUCGGAUGUGAAAGCCCCGGGCUCAACCUGGGAACUGCAUUCGAUACUGUUUGGCUAGAGUAUGAGAGAGGGAGGUAGAAUUCCACGUGUAGUGGUGAAAUGCGUAGAGAUGUGGAGGAACACCGAUGGCGAAGGCAGCCUCCUGGGCCGACACUGACGCUCAUGCACGAAAGCGUGGGGAGCAAACAGG
rnacentral:rRNA from 1 species